GACGAACGCUGGCGGCGUGCCUAAUACAUGCAAGUCGAACGCAGUGGGGACGGGUGAUUAACACGUGGGUAACCUCCCAUCAGAGGGGAUAACACUUGGAAACCGGUGCUAAACCGAUACUGAUGGAUGGACCCGCGGUGCAUUAGCUAGUUGGUGGGGUAACGGCUCACCAAGGCCACGAUGCCUAGCCGGCCUGAGAGGGUGAACAGCCACACUGGGACUGAGACACGGCCCAGACUCCUACGGGAGGCAGCAGUAGGGAAUAUUCGGCAAUGGACGAAAGUCUGACCGAGCAACGCCGCGUGAGUGAAGAAGGUUUUCGGAUCGUAAAACUCUGUUGUUAGAGAAGCGGUAUCUAAACAGAAAGCAACGGCUAACUACGUGCCAGCAGCCGCGGUAAUAC
rnacentral:rRNA from 1 species